UAGUGCUCGACUUACAACCACGGUCGGGACCGUGGACCGGUCAUAACAUGAUUGGGUUGUAAGUUGAGUAGGCUAUAUGUACAGUUGAAAUGGUGCACGCGGAGAUGGUAGUGCUGCCGGAAGCUGGUCCGCACUGUCGUAUGCCCAGCUGGGCAACGUUUGCGCUGCCAGACGCGGAACAGUCGUGGCUCGCGAUUGUGGUUGUAAAGUUGAAUGGUCGUAAGUUGCAUAGGUGGUAAGUUGAUCAAUACCUGUAUACUUAUGGCUUCAAUAGUGUGAGUGGGUCAGGCGAGGUGGCCUUCUCCCCUGUUGGUGAUAAUGGAUAGUUGAAGGUCCCGUUGAGGUCUCAAUUCCACAGUGCCAUACUGAGUGUGGUCAGCCAGGGCGCUAUGCUUUUGCUGGGGACAUCAGACAAGGGCACAGGAUUGGGAGUACAGGUGGCAGCAGUGUCCCUUGAAAUGCUAACCUUCAGGUUUACUGAGUAUAAAGGCCCACUUAGGGCCAGGUGUGUUGCUUUUUAAAACAUUUAAUCCUUCGAACAACCUUUGAAGAGAGACUGUUAUCCCUACAUUUCUGAAGAGGAAAGGGAGGCUCAGAGAGGUAGAGGAAUUUGCUGUGGGUCACACAGCAUGUAGCUCAGUUAAAAACCGAGGGCUGUCAGGAUCCAGACCUUGAGCUUUCUCUCCCACCCUGCAUCCUGUGUGCUCAGAGGAGGAGAAAGCUUUUUCCUAUGGGAAAUGUCAACUCUUUUAUUAACUUCAAGUGGCGAUAAAAACAGGACUGUCUGUUAAGUGCUCAGAGCAGUCCCACCUUUGCCCCCUCUGAGGUGUGCACGCAGCCCUCCAUGAGCUCUCAACCUCUGGUUCUCUGCCUGGGAGACUGGGCUGACUUGGAGCUAAAGAUACGCACUUAAUAUUGUUCACAGAAUCUAUGGGGCGGUUGAUUUUGUUAACGUGAAAAUGCCCCACUUCUAGUUGGCCAUCUGCUUUGUCCAGAAAGUUGUCUUCCUGGUAACAGCCCUGCUUGAAACAAAUCCUCCCACCUGGUUUUCACCCAGUAACACAGCCUGCGUGCAAGCACUGUCCAAUUUGCCAAUUUUCCAGUCGCAUAGCACAACCUUUCCUUUCCAUUGGUAUGUUUGGUCCUGCAUGUCUGUGAGUUGCAAAGGGACUAUUGUUUCCAUAUUUACAGCAAGCAGCAGGGCUGCAAAUUAGUUUUAGUGACAAACUGAAGAUUACCAGCUGUAGUUCAGGAUUCAGAUUUGUACUGUUACAAAAAUAUGUAUUCAUGAAACUAAAAUUUCAAAUUACUUCCUUCACAUCUCAAAAUAAAUACUGUGCUGGGUAUAUGAUAUGCAAUGAAGAACUAUUUCUGAUUUUUAACACAACUGAAAAUUAGCAUAUUCAAAACACGUCUUGGUGACUUAGCUCUUAAAAAAAUUUAAACACAGUUUUGUGUGUGUGUGUGUGUGUGUGUGUGUGUGUCUGUGUGUGUGUGUUUGUAUGUAAGCAGUUUUAUAACAUUAAGGAAUUUUUUCAAGAUGUACAAUAGAUCACCUUCAAUCCUAUCCUGACAAGACAGCUCAACCUAUUAUUGUCCUUCCAUUCUAUGUUUUCAUACUAUUAACCUGUUUACACACAUUUUUAUUUUCUGUUCACUGAAUAACAUGUUAGACUCAUUUACUAUUUGGUUACAUAGUCUUUUCAAUUAUAAUGACACAUCUACAUCAGUGUCACAAUGAACAUUUUAGUGCACACAUCUUAUUUCUGUUUUCUUAUGGAAUUAUGUCCUUAGAGUAAAUUCUCUCAAAUUACUUGGUUCAAAGAUAUGGACAUAACUUGGUAAAUAUUAUUAUACCACUGCUGGAAGGGUUGUACCAAUUUAUAGUACUGUGUAUUGUCUGAAAGUUGUGGAUAGGUGUUGUCCGGAACACACUGUCUUGGUGAAUUAGGGCAGCUAAUGGGUGUUUGAGACGUAUGCGUGUGUGUGUGUGUGUGUGUGUGUGUGUGUGUCUUGUGUAUUCCUCCAUGGCUUCGUUCAACUAGAUGCAGCUUUCUGCAUUCAUCUAAGUGCUUCUCGUGGAUGAAAUUGUGCACAAGCAAACACAAAAUUUGCAUUAUGCUCAAAUUAUUCCCUAAUAUAUAAAUUGUGUUGGAACAAAUUUGUAUUUUCAAAACAGGAGAAGGCAGUCCUGCCCGUGCUUUUCUAUUUGUAUUUCUUCUUGUCUGACUGGCGCCUUACGCUUCUGUUCAAUUUGCAAACAGGCGCUGUGUUGCCAGAAGAACAUUUUUAUUUUCGGAAUGUAGAUAGGUAAUUGCCUCAUGUUGCUUUAUAAUAAGCAAUUUUUUAUAUCUUUCAAUAUUUUCUAUGAGGAUUGCAGCAACUUUAUAAUAAAGAUUUCAUCAUUACCAGAUUCCUGUCUGCUUUUUCUCCAUGCUUUGGAACUGAGAAAAACUUGAACUACAGAUUGAGCUUCUAGUACUUUCUACAUAUAAGUAAAAAAAAAAAAAAAAAACUCCUGUGUCUUUUAUUUAUUUGUUCAUUUUGAAAAGGAAGUGUGACUACCAGCUGAUAUUUAUUGAUUGCCUGUUGGGUAUGGUGACGCCCUUUGCAGCUGGGUGGGACAGGUUGAGGUUUCUCUUUGACGGAAAUCCUUCUGAGCCUCAUCUUCAAAAUGGAAUGGGGUUCACUUCCUUAUAGGGAGGGCUGUGGCUGUACCAAGAUUUAUUAGUUCAUUCUUAUGCUGCUAAUAGAGAUACCGGAGACUGGGUAAUUUAUAAAAGACAGCAGUUUGAUGGCCUCACAGUUCCACAUGGCUGGGGAGGCCUCACCAUUAUGGCAGAAGGCAAGGAGGAGCAAAGGGACAUCUUACAUGGUGGCAGGCAGGAGAGUAUGUGCAGGGGAGCUGGCCUUUAUACAACCAUCAGAUAGAUCUCUUGAGACUUACUCACUAUCACAGGAAGAGUAUGGGAAAAACCUGCCCCCAUGAUUCAGUUAUCUCCAACUGGCCCUGCCCUAGACAUGUGGGGAUUACUGCAAUUAAAGGUGAGAUUUGGUGGGGGGUGGGGGGACACAGACCCAAACC